rnacentral:lncRNA from 1 species
AUCAAACAGUAUGAAGCACUUGGAGUUCAACAACUUCAGCUAGUUGCCACUUGCAUAAAAGUAAUCUUUCAGCCUAUUUGAUGGCUUCCUGACCCUCUUUGACCCAUCAUGCACAGCACUUGUAGCAGCUCUAUUGGCAGCAGCCUGUCUAGGAGCAAUGAAAGAUCCAGUGCCAGCUCUAUUGGCAGUAGCUGACCUGGUGUUCUUUGCUGGAGAAGACCUUGAUGACUUGGUGUUGUUUGCUGGAGAAGACCUUGAUCCAUUGCCAGGAAUAGUUGUGUUCUUCUUCUUGGCAGGUGCUACUACUGUUGCAGAAGAUGUGUUGGUCCUGCUCUUCUUGAGAGGUGGUGGUGCUGUUGAUGUAGCUGGUGCUGCCCUCUUCCUUGACCUAGAAGCUGUCUGUGUUGACUCAUUUGUUACUGGAGGAGGAGUUGGUGCAGGUGCAGAGGCAGCAGGUACCCUUGGUGGCCUUUGUGCAGUUGCAGCCAAUGAAGAUCCAGCCUCAGAGUAGUUUGUUCCAUUUUCCUACACAACAAUAUUAGUUAGAAGUAUUUUCCUACAA